rnacentral:rRNA from 1 species
AGGGUCGUUGUAGACGACGACGUUGAUAGGCCACAGGUGUAAAGCCGGUGACGGCAAAGCCGAGUGGUACUAAUCACCCGAAAGUU